AGACCUUGUCUUUUCCUUUCCUUUCUCCAGGUUUACUUCGAGCGUUUCCUUUUCCUCCUUUGGGAUAAAUAACGCACGGUGGCGAUUCUUCUGUCAUUUCUUUUUUCGCCGGUUUUUUUUUUUUUGCAAGAUGGUUGCGACACCCACCAUCCUUUUAAUUGUCCGGUAAAUCCUAUAACUAGUAUCUCUUUAGUAUGUUUAUCCGUAUUUCCUUUAUUUAGACGAUAUGGGUCAUUACUUUUUAUAAAGUUUAUGCUUAGU
rnacentral:lncRNA from 1 species